ACGUAGACGCUAUUCCCUAAGAUUAACCCAUGCAUGUUUUUGACAUUUGAAAAAUGGACUGCUCAGUAAUACUCACUUUAUUUUAUGUAAAUUUUUAAUUAACUACGUUAAAGUGUAGAUAAGAUGUUUACAGUAAGAGUGAGACCUAUCAGCUAGUUGUUAAGGUAAUGGCUUAACAAGGCUGUGACGGGUAACGGUAUUACUUUGUAAUAUUCCGGAGAAGGAGCCUGAGAGACGGCUACUAAGUCUAAGGAUUGCAGCAGGGGCGAAACUUGACCUAUGGAUUUUAUCUGAGGCAGUUAUGGGAAGUAAUAUUAUAUUGUUUCAUAUUUUAAAAGUAUAUGAGGUGAUUAAUUGGAGGGCAAAUCAAGUGCCAGCAGCCGCGGUAAUACUUGUUCCAAGAGUGUGUAUGAUGAUUGAUGCAGUUAAAAAGUCCGUAGUUUAUUUUUUAAGAAGCAAUAUGAGGUGUACUGUAUAGUUGGGAGAAAGAUGAAAUGUGACGACCCUGACUGGACGAACAGAAGCGAAAGCUGUACACUUGUAUGUAUUUUUUGAACAAGGACGUAAGCUGGAGGAGCGAAGAUGAUUAGAUACCAUUGUAGUUCCAGCAGUAAACCAUGCCGACGAUGUGAUAUGAAAAUAUUAAUUUGUAUUACAUAAUAGAAAUUUGAGUUUUUUGGCUCUGGGGAUAGUAUGAUCGCAAGAUUGAAAAUUAAAGAAAUUGACGGAAGAAUACCACAAGGAGUGGAUUGUGCGGCUUAAUUUGACUCAACGCGAGGUAACUUACCAAUAUUUUAUUAUUUUGAGAGAACGGUUUUUUGUUUGAGAAUGAUAAUAGUGGUGCAUGGCCGUUUUCAAUGGAUGCUGUGAAGUUUUGAUUAAUUUCAACAAGACGUGAGACCCUUAUUUUUUAUUAAAGACAGACACAAUCAGUGUAGGAAGGAAAGGAUUAAAACAGGUCCGUUAUGCCCUCUGACAUUUUGGGCUGCACGCGCAAUACAAUAGAUAUAUAAUCUUUAUGGGAUAAUAUUUUGUAAGAGAUAUUUGAACUUGGAAUUGCUAGUAAAUUUUAUUAAAUAAGUAGAAUUGAAUGUGUCCCUGUUCUU
rnacentral:rRNA from 1 species